rnacentral:rRNA from 1 species
AGAGUUUGAUCCUGGCUCAGGAUGAACGCUGGCGGCGUGCUUAACACAUGAAGUCGAACGAACCUUCGGGUUAGUGGCGGACGGGUGAGUAAGCGUGAGAAUCUGCCCUCAGGAGGGGGACAACAGUUGGAAACGACUGCUAAUACCCCAUAUGCCGCGAGGUGAAAUGAAUUUCGCCUGAGGAUGAGCUCGCGUCUGAUUAGCUAGUUGGUGUAGGUAAUGGCUCACCAAGGCAUCGAUCAGUAGCUGGUCUGAGAGGAUGAUCAGCCACACUGGGACUGAGACACGGCCCAGACUCCUACGGGAGGCAGCAGUGGGGAAUUUUCCGCAAUGGGCGAAAGCCUGACGGAGCAACGCCGCGUGAGGGAUGAAGGCCUCUGGGCUGUAAACCUCUUUUAUCAAGGAAGAAGAUCUGACGGUACUUGAUGAAUAAGCCACGGCUAAUUCCGUGCCAGCAGCCGCGGUAAUACGGGAGUGGCAAGCGUUAUCCGGAAUUAUUGGGCGUAAAGCGUCCGCAGGCGGCCCUUCAAGUCUGCUGUUAAAAAGUGGAGCUUAACUCCAUCAUGGCAGUGGAAACUGUUGGGCUUGAGUGUGGUAGGGGCAGAGGGAAUUCCCGGUGUAGCGGUGAAAUGCGUAGAUAUCGGGAAGAACACCAGUGGCGAAGGCGCUCUGCUGGGCCAUCACUGACGCUCAUGGACGAAAGCCAGGGAGCGAAAGGGAUUAGAUACCCCUGUAGUCCUGGCCGUAAACGAUGAACACUAGGUGUCGGGGGAAUCGACCCCCUCGGUGUCGUAGCCAACGCGUUAAGUGUUCCGCCUGGGGAGUACGCACGCAAGUGUGAAACUCAAAGGAAUUGACGGGGGCCCGCACAAGCGGUGGAGUAUGUGGUUUAAUUCGAUGCAACGCGAAGAACCUUACCAGGGUUUGACAUCCUGCGAAUCUCUUGGAAACAGGAGAGUGCCUUCGGGAACGCAGUGACAGGUGGUGCAUGGCUGUCGUCAGCUCGUGUCGUGAGAUGUUGGGUUAAGUCCCGCAACGAGCGCAACCCCCGUCUUUAGUUGCCAGCAUUUAGUUGGGCACUCUAGAGAGACUGCCGGUGAUAAACCGGAGGAAGGUGUGGAUGACGUCAAGUCAUCAUGCCCCUUACAUCCUGGGCUACACACGUACUACAAUGCUACGGACAAAGGGCAGCAAGUUCGCGAGGACAAGCAAAUCCCAUAAACCGUGGCUCAGUUCAGAUCGUAGGCUGCAACUCGCCUACGUGAAGGCGGAAUCGCUAGUAAUCGCAGGUCAGCAUACUGCGGUGAAUACGUUCCCGGGCCUUGUACACACCGCCCGUCACACCAUGGAAAGUUGGCCACGCCCGAAGCCGUUACUCCAACCCUUGUGGAGGAGGACGUCGAAGGUGGGGCUGAUGACUGGGGUGAAGUCGUAACAAGGUAACC